rnacentral:rRNA from 1 species
CGUACACUCCUACGGGAGGCAGCAGUGGGGAAUAUUGCACAAUGGGCGCAAGCCUGAUGCAGCGACGCCGCGUGGGGGAUGAAGGCCUUCGGGUUGUAAACUCCUUUCGCUAGGGACGAAGCUUUUUUGUGACGGUACCUAGAUAAGAAGCACCGGCUAACUACGUGCCAGCAGCCGCGGUAAUACGUAGGGUGCGAGCGUUGUCCGGAAUUACUGGGCGUAAAGGGCUCGUAGGUGGUUUGUCGCGUCGUCUGUGAAAUUCUGGGGCUUAACUCCGGGCGUGCAGGCGAUACGGGCAUAACUUGAGUGCUGUAGGGGUAACUGGAAUUCCUGGUGUAGCGGUGAAAUGCGCAGAUAUCAGGAGGAACACCGAUGGCGAAGGCAGGUUACUGGGCAGUUACUGACGCUGAGGAGCGAAAGCAUGGGUAGCGAACAGGAUUAGAUACCCCGGUAGUCCCA